ACGCUGGCGGCGUGCCUAAUACAUGCAAGUAGAACGCUGAAGAGAGGAGCUUGCUCUUCUUGGAUGAGUUGCGAACGGGUGAGUAACGCGUAGGUAACCUGCCUUGUAGCGGGGGAUAACUAUUGGAAACGAUAGCUAAUACCGCAUAACAAUAGGUGACACAUGUCAUUUAUUUGAAAGGGGCAAUUGCUCCACUACAAGAUGGACCUGCGUUGUAUUAGCUAGUAGGUGAGGUAACGGCUCACCUAGGCGACAAUACAUACCCGACCUGAGAGGGUGAUCGGCCACACUGGGACUGAAACACGGCCCAAACUCCUACGGGAGGCAGCAGUAGGGAAUCUUCGGCAAUGGGGGCAACCCUGACCGAGCAACGCCGCGUGAGUGAAAAAGGUUUUCGGAUCGUAAAGCUCUGUUGUAAGUCAAGAACGAGUGUGAGAGUGGAAAGUUCACACUGUGACGGUAGCUUACCAAAAAGGGACGGCUAACUACGUGCCACCAGCCGCGGUAAUACGUAGGUCCCGAGCGUUGUCCGGAUUUAUUGGGCGUAAAGCGAGCGCAGGCGGUUUGAUAAGUCUGAAGUUAAAGGCUGUGGCUCAACCAUAGUUCGCUUUGGAAACUGUCAAACUUGAGUGCAGAAGGGGAGAGUGGAAUUCCAUGUGUAGCGGUGAAAUGCGUAGAUAUAUGGAGGAACACCGGUGGCGAAAGCGGCUCUCUGGUCUGUAACUGACGCUGAGGCUCGAAAGCGUGGGGAGCGAACAGGAUUAGAUACUCUGGUAGUCCACGCCGUAAACGAUGAGUGCUAGGUGUUGGAUCCUUUCCGGGAUUCAGUGCCGCAGCUAACGCAUUAAGCACUCCGCCUGGGGAGUACGACCGCAAGGUUGAAACUCAAAGGAAUUGACGGGGGCCCGCA
rnacentral:rRNA from 1 species